rnacentral:lncRNA from 1 species
CGAGCGUUUAACAUCGUCGAGAUAUUCGUCGACAUAUUUUCAUAUAUUUUUAAAAAGCUGUUAUAAAUAAAAUUACAUUCAGUAAACUUGGACUUACCUUGGCCAACUGCUAUAACUUCAAUGAAGAUCAAAAAACCAGAGAGCAACGGAACGG